rnacentral:rRNA from 1 species
UACGUAGGGUGCGAGCGUUGUCCGGAUUUAUUGGGCGUAAAGCGCUCGUAGGCGGUCUGUCGCGUCGGCUGUGAAAACCCGGAGCUCAACUCCGGGCCUGCAGUCGAUACGGGCAAACUAGAGUACUGCAGGGGAGAGUGGAAUUCCUGGUGUAGCGGUGAAAUGCGCAGAUAUCAGGAGGAACACCGGUGGCGAAGGCGGGUCUCUGGGCAGGAACUGACGCUGAGGAGCGAAAGCGUGGGGAGCGAACAGG